GACGAACGCUGGCGGCGUGCUUAACACAUGCAAGUCGAACGGAAAGGCCCUGCUUUUGUGGGGUGCUCGAGUGGCGAACGGGUGAGUAACACGUGAGUAACCUGCCCUUGACUUUGGGAUAACUUCAGGAAACUGGGGCUAAUACCGGAUAGGAGCUCCUGCUGCAUGGUGGGGGUUGGAAAGUUUCGGCGGUUGGGGAUGGACUCGCGGCUUAUCAGCUUGUUGGUGGGGUAGUGGCUUACCAAGGCUUUGACGGGUAGCCGGCCUGAGAGGGUGACCGGCCACAUUGGGACUGAGAUACGGCCCAGGCUCCUACGGGAGGCAGCAGUGGGGAAUAUUGCACAAUGGGCGGAAGCCUGAUGCAGCAACGCCGCGUGCGGGAUGACGGCCUUCGGGUUGUAAACCGCUUUCGCCUGUGACGAAGCGUGAGUGACGGUAAUGGGUAAAGAAGCACCGGCUAACUACGUGCCAGCAGCCGCGGUGAUACGUAGGGUGCGAGCGUUGUCCGGAUUUAUUGGGCGUAAAGGGCUCGUAGGUGGUUGAUCGCGUCGGAAGUGUAAUCUUGGGGCUUAACCCUGAGCGUGCUUUCGAUACGGGUUGACUUGAGGAAGGUAGGGGAGAAUGGAAUUCCUGGUGGAGCGGUGGAAUGCGCAGAUAUCAGGAGGAACACCAGUGGCGAAGGCGGCUCUCUGGGCCUUUCCUGACGCUGAGGAGCGAAAGCGUGGGGAGCGAACAGGCUUAGAUACCCUGGUAGUCCACGCUGUAAACGGUGGGUACUAGGUGUGGGGUCCAUUCCACGGGUUCCGUGCCGUAGCUAACGCUUUAAGUACCCCGCCUGGGGAGUACGGCCGCAAGGCUAAAACUCAAAGGAAUUGACGGGGCCCCGCACAAGCGGCGGAGCAUGCGGAUUAAUUCGAUGCAACGCGUAGAACCUUACCUGGGUUUGACAUGGAUCGGGAGUGCUCAGAGAUGGGUGUGCCUCUUUUGGGGUCGGUUCACAGGUGGUGCAUGGCUGUCGUCAGCUCGUGUCGUGAGAUGUUGGGUUAAGUCCCGCAACGAGCGCAACCCUUGUUCACUGUUGCCAGCACGUUAUGGUGGGGACUCAGUGGAGACCGCCGGGGUCAACUCGGAGGAAGGUGGGGAUGACGUCAAGUCAUCAUGCCCCUUAUGUCCAGGGCUUCACGCAUGCUACAAUGGCUGGUACAGAGAGUGGCGAGCCUGUGAGGGUGAGCGAAUCUCGGAAAGCCGGUCUCAGUUCGGAUUGGGGUCUGCAACUCGACCUCAUGAAGUCGGAGUCGCUAGUAAUCGCAGAUCAGCAACGCUGCGGUGAAUACGUUCCCGGG
rnacentral:rRNA from 1 species